rnacentral:rRNA from 1 species
CCUACGGGAGGCAGCAGUGAGGAAUAUUGGUCAAUGGCCGGAAGGCUGAACCAGCCAUGCCGCGUGAAGGUCAAUGCCCUAUGGGCGGUAAACUUCUUUUGUGCGGGAGCAAUAAUGGUCACGUGUGGCCAGCCGAGAGUACCGUACGAAUAAGCAUCGGCUAACGCCGUGCCAGCAGCAGCGGUAAUACGGGGGAGGCAAGCGUUAUCGGGAAUUACUAGUCGUAAAGGGCGCGUAGGUGGGCGCUUAAGUCAGGUGUGAAAACACCGGGCUCAACCUGGAGACUGCACUUGAAACUGGGUGUCUUGAGGGCAGGAGAGGAAAGUGGAAUUCCUAGUGUAGCGGUGAAAUGCGCAGAUAUUAGGAGGAACACCAGUGGCGAAGGCGACUUUCUGGACUGUACCUGACGCUGAGGCGCGAAAGCGUGGGUAGCGAACGGGAUUAGAUACCCUUGUAGUC